AAAAAAAACAAAAACAAACAAACAAGAACAACAACAACAAAAAACAACCAAAGAAAGUUCCAGUUAUUCUUAGCCUGAACUCUGUCAAUACAGGGAUGAUUGCCAAUAGAUUUGUUAGACUGUAACUGUCUGUACCCUGAGAGAUCAAGAAGAGGGAGACUGUCUUUUCCAUGCACUGAUUUUUCCUCUUGUUUUUUUGUGUGCAGAUAUCAUAAGGAGACCAAAAUGUAUUCACACCUGCAGUACAGUCAGGACAGCAAAGUGAGCAGCUGAGGGCUGGCAUUCUGCCUUCAGAAAGCAGACAGCUGUGGCUGGUAAUCCCCUGAACUGCCACUGUAGGGUUUGAUAAAGCUUAUAAAGCCUCUCUGGCAGAGCUCCUCAUGCUCUACCACCUUAAAAGUUACAUGACCUAGAAGUUGUAGUGACUGAAAGCGGACAGUUGGAGGUGAGAUAUCAAGUCUCAAGCUUCUACUGGGAAAAUAUGUAGAAAAAGAAAGUGUGAUUACGGAUGUUUUGUUGAUAAUAUGGGAAAAAGGAAACAGAAGAUUUCUGUCCUUCUUGGAAAAGAGCGCUGUGAGAAUUUCUGACAGCAGAAGUUGAAUCUGAGAUCUGGGUACACUGAAGCCAAUGAUGAACCUCCUGAAAACAUCAUGUCACUGGAGCUGUUUGUCAGGUAGAAGAACAUCUGAAGGCCCUGGAAAAGGAAAGUCACCAGACAGCAGCUCACUCAUAUCUUUGUUGUCACCUUAGAGAAUUAGAGGUGACACUCAAUUUAGAAAAUACUGGGUUUAACUGUAAAUAACGCUUUCAGAAUUUCAUUAAAGAAAGAGUUGACAACUGAACUUUACAACGUUCACUUGCAGGUGCCAGCAGUGGGACAACUCCUCUUUGCCUGACUCAGAUUCAGAGGGGCUUUGGGUUGCCCCAGGCCCAAGAAAGACAAAGGGCGUGUACUGCUAUCCAAUCCAUGAGCUCAUUGAAAAAGGUGAUUUCCUCAAGGCAGAAUUUACAUUUUUGCUGUGUUGGCCAACAUGGUACACAUGUUGGGUAGAUCAUCAACUGCUGUUACUUGUCAUAGUUCUAUGGAAUUUGGUGAAGUCUGAGCAAUCCAUACAAUAUGAGGAUUUCACCUAUAUAAGAAGAAUCAAAGAAUAUUUUACAUUCAGUCAUUUUUCAUGACAGAGGAAUGACUUGAUCAAUACCUUUUUAUAGGGCAUAUGUAACUACAGAAUUAAUUCAAGUAGGUUGUUUUUUUCUUUUUUUAAUAAGCUGGAAGUUCUAUGAUUUUUACACUUUCAUAUGCUCAUUAACUCAUCAUUUACUAUGAAUCCAUCCACUUGCAGAGCUUGAUAUAUAUGUGAUUUGACAAUUACAAUUCUUUCUGUUUAAGGACAAAUUUCAAUUUUCUUGUAAUUUCACCCACUGGAAGGAUAGAAGUAUUCUUUUUCUUUUACAGAGAUGAGUAAUUUUCCAUCAUAUCAUGUGUGGUGGCACUUUUUUUUCUUGAAGAGUUAAAGGCUAG
ensembl:lncRNA